GUGGGGUUUGAAUGAGGCCUUUUCAGUUGAAAGGCUCGAAUUCAUGCUCUGGUAAGGGGGUU
rnacentral:rRNA from 1 species